UGUGUGAAUCUUGUCAAACGUCAUUGACAAAUCAGUGGAAUGCGUUUGAAGAUGCUGGAUUAGGCAUACAUGAGAGGGAGUAUAAGGUCAAGAAGGGACAUGCUUCCAAAAAUAAGAAUGAUGUUAACCCUGAUGUAUUGCCAACAAUGUAUACAUGUUCUGUAUGCAAGAAACAGAAGACCAGGGGCCAAAUUGAUUAUAGUUGUGGAAAGGAAGAAAGUGCCAUCUUGUCAGGCAAUAGAAAUGUAGAUGAUCCAGGAAGAAGCCCCGUUUGUUUCGACUGUAAGAAAUCUUACGAACAACAUACGAAACCAUCACAUCAGGUCUCACAUGUAAAACCCAUCGAGUCUUCUCGGAAGCUGCACAAUGAUGACACACUCACCACAAGAAUGGUGAUCAAGAACGAUUUAAGCCCCACUGCGCAUGGUGUGGUAGCAAACAGCCAAAAACUAAAUGAAAGUUUAUAUUUUGAAACCUGCUUUCUUUGUGGUGAAAGAGUGAAUGCAUUAAACCUAGAGUAUCUGUAUGUUUUCCCUCGUCAGUAUGCGAAAGGUUACAAACCAUUCUUCCCGUCACUAGCAUACCGUGUUCCAGCCUACCAUGCCAAACCCCCAUCACCAUCGGGAACUGUGAUAACGUGUACAUAUUGCCAUGGUAACAUGAUAAACCAAUGGUACGAGUGUGAAAAACACGAGCAGUGUGGUAUCUCGAAUCCCUGGGUGCGACAAUACGUCUUUAGUGAAUUCACUUGUUACCUCUGCAGUAAGAUAUUCCCUCGGCACAAAGUUACAACAGUGUCGUCAAGUGAUUUUCCAUUUCUAACCAAAGUGAGAAAGCCGGCGAGAGGAUUUAGGAUGAACAACCAAAAGGAUUAUGUGGUCUGUCAACAUUGCAAAGAAAUCAUUCACAUUCAGGAGGAGAAUUUUGAUAAAUGUAAAGUUGAUGUCAGCGAGCGAGAUUAUGAAUUACCCAUGGUUCAGUUUGAUUCUAAGCUGGCAAAUAAG